GCCGUGCUCUCGGCUCUUUUCUGAAGUGGUGUAGGAGCUGGCGGUUCUGUGCCUCUGCUGAGAGCCGAGAAAAGUACUCGCGCAAGCUUGGAGGCCAAGCUAUGGUGAGCCAGGGGCGACUGUCUGGGGACGAGUGGGCUGCUGAGCGUCGGGAAGCCGUGUGGUGGGCCCUCCCUCGGUCUGAGUCGGAGCUAGUGGCCAGACGUAGCGCGGUGAGGUCCUUUGUGGUAUUUGUAAUUUGGAACUGCCAGGCUCCCUGUGGAGGCCCCUGAAUAAUUUCACUCUGUGGGCUGCAUCUGUGCACAGCCUUGGGAACAGGGGUUGUGUGUAGGGGCUGUGUUGUACAUAGAUAGCUUCACUAUGCUUUUGGAGCAUCAGCGGCUGGCUGGUUGCCAAAUUCAGGAAAAUUCUAGUUUCUCUAGCACUUCUAGAAUUUGUGCACUUCCUAUUGAACUUUUAGGAGUACGACCCAUUUGGAGUUAAUUUUGUGAGUGUUGUAAAUGGAAUCUCAUGUAUGGAGUAGCACUUGACUAAGCUGUGAUGUUGAAGAGUAGAAUUUGAGACGUAAAGGAUUUACCAAUGCUUAAGAAGUCACACAAAGUAGAAUUUAGCUAAGGGAGGGCUACCUCUCUAACACCCCCCCCCCCGCCCCAAAUACACAGUAUGCUAACCAGGUUUGUUAGACAUGGUGCUAUGAUACAUGUUUGUUCAUCAGGAUUGUCUAGACAUUUGGCUCCAAUCAUAAUAGAGGAGACAACUCUGAUUCACAACCCACCACUAGUCUAAUGCCUAUAUUAAAGGGCAUGUGUCUCACAAGCUGCUCAAAGGGACAUUACAGUGUCACAACCAACAUUAAGGCCUAGUGUUACAUAAAGGUCCAAUUGGCAUAGUUCUUGCCAGAAAGGCAAGAAGACCUUGCGUGACAGCUAUUUG
rnacentral:lncRNA from 1 species